GAUGAACGCUGGCGGCGUGCCUAAUACAUGCAAGUCGAGCGAACAGAUAAGGAGCUUGCUCCUUUGAAGUUAGCGGCGGACGGGUGAGUAACACGUGGGUAACCUACCUAUAAGACUGGGAUAACUUCGGGAAACCGGAGCUAAUACCGGAUAACAUUUAGAACCGCAUGGUUCUAAAGUGAAAGAUGGUUUUGUUAUCACUUAUAGAUGGACCCGCGCCGUAUUAGCUAGUUGGUAAGGUAACGGCUUACCAAGGCGACGAUACGUAGCCGACCUGAGAGGGUGAUCGGCCACACUGGAACUGAGACACGGUCCAGACUCCUACGGGAGGCAGCAGUAGGGAAUCUUCCGCAAUGGGCGAAAGCCUGACGGAGCAACGCCGCGUGAGUGAUGAAGGGUUUCGGCUCGUAAAACUCUGUUAUUAGGGAAGAACAAAUGUGUAAGUAACUGUGCACAUCUUGACGGUACCUAAUCAGAAAGCCACGGCUAACUACGUG
rnacentral:rRNA from 1 species